CAGUAGCCGCGGUAAUACAGAGGGUGCAAGCGUUAAUCGGAAUUACUGGGCGUAAAGUGCGCGUAGGUGGUUUGUUAAGUUGGAUGUGAAAUCCCCGGGCUCAACCUGGGAACUGCAUCCAAAACUGGCAAGCUAGAGUAUGGUAGAGGGUGGUGGAAUUUCCUGUGUAGCGGUGAAAUGCGUAGAUAUAGGAAGGAACACCAGUGGCGAAGGCGACCACCUGGACUGAUACUGACACUGAGGUGCGAAAGCGUGGGGAGCAAACAGGAUUAGAUACCCCCGUAGUCCCUGUCUCUUAUAC
rnacentral:rRNA from 1 species